rnacentral:rRNA from 1 species
CCCUUAGAUGUUCUGGGCCGCACGCGCACUACACUGAUGCAUUCAACGAGUCCAACCUUGACCGAGAGGUCCGGGUAAUCUUUGAAACUGCAUCGUGAUGGGGCUAGAUUAUUGCAAUUAUUAAUCUUCAACGAGGAAUGCCUAGUAAGCGUGAUUCAUCAAAUCGCGUUGAUUACGUCCCUGCCCUUUGUACACACCGCCCGUCGCUCCUACCGAUUGAGUGUGUUGGUGAGGAGUUUGGAUUGGCCUCGGAAGGUGGUUCGCCACCGUCCGUAGCUGAGAAGUUCUCCAAACCGCCCCACUUAGAGGAAGGAGAAGUCGUAACA